rnacentral:rRNA from 1 species
CCCUUAGAUGUUCUGGGCUGCACGCGUGCUACACUGAUAUUGCCAAUAUGUCAUUCUUAUCCGAAAUGGAUUGGGUAAUCAAGUAAUGAAAUUUCAUGCUUGGAAUCGGUAAUUGCAAUUUUAUCGUGAACGAGGAAUUCCUAGUAGGCACUAGUCAUCAGCUAAUGUUGAUUAUGUCCCUGCCCUUUGUACACACCGCCCGUCGCUACUACUGAUUGGGUGUUCAAGUGAGAUGCUUAGACCCUUGUUGCAUGGUUCAUUAUUGUGCUCCGAAAGGAAAAAGUUUCAAGCUUGAGUGUCUAGAGGAAGUAAAAGUCGUAACA